UCUGGUCAAAAUGUUUGUGUCCGCUAAUUUGGUUUACAACCAAAUACCUGCAAAACAGAUGACAUUCCCAUUAGCUUCAGCUGUACUUAUCUCAUGUUAGCAUGCUAACACGCUCAACUAAGAUGAACAUAGUAAAAAUUAUCCCUGCUUAGCAUCAGCAUGUUAGCAUUGUCAUUGUUAGCAUGCUGCCGUUAGCAUUUAGCUCAAAGCGUCGCUGUGCCUAAGUACAGCCUUGCAGAGUCGCUAACAUGGCUAUUCUGCUGCAGUCUAUUCACAACUUCCUAAAGGCCCAAAAGCACUGUCACAACUACUUUUGUUAAGACGCUCGUGGACGGUGCGGCGGUGGCACUUUUCAGCGAGCAGCAACUGACCCAGCAUCCGCCUGUAAGUCUCCCUGUGCUUCUCCUGCAGACGCUCCAGCUGAGAGAGCCACAGCCACGCAGGCUUUUGGUAGACACUGUGGUAGCGUGGCUCAGUGCCAGUGAUGGAGUCGUCCCUCUGCAGGGCCUGGAGGGCCGAACUAGGGACCGCAGAGCCAUAACGCAAUUCAAGGGCCUCUGGGACAGUCGGUUUGGACUUCAGCAUGCAGAUAACAUCUUCUCUGGCCUGAAAUCACAUAGACAUUUAAAGAUAUACACAUGAUACAGCAUAUUAUGACUUGAAGAAGAGGAAUGUGUGUUUGCUCCAUCUGGACACCUGUUUGAAGUUUCUUUGUCCCAGAUGUGCAAAUGUGAGAAAUGAUAUGUUCAAAUUGGCCUCAAACAUGUUGUGAAUGUGUCACUUUUCUCAAAUGUCUCAAUGUGGAUACAGUACAUUCUGCUUUAGGGUGAAACCCCUGCAGCAUUUGUUUUUCUCCAAAAUAGUCACUUGGUAAACACAUGGCACGUUUGCCUGUUUUUUCUGGCACGUUAAACUGCCAUUUUCAACCACAAGAUAGAGCUAUUGUGCAAAAAAGUGCAGUCCAACUUCAUCCAUUGACAGCAUGCAGUAGGCACUUAGCAUUCAAACUGACUUUGUCCACAAUGCCUUCAACAGAUUUUUUCUUUCCCUCAUAAUUGCACUUACCCUACCCUACUUAUGACAGCAGGUCAAAGAGGUCAUGCCUAAUACAAUGUGGAACACCCACCUGAACCUCUCCUUCCAUGAUCCCCAGCAGUUUCAGCAAACCCUCUUUGGACAGAUCCAUGAUGCCCCCUCUUUUGUCUUGAGCCUCUGGGGAAUCACAGUGUAGCUUCUCUUUGCCAGAGAUCAUCUCAACCUCCACCUUAUCCUCACCCUCUUUCUGCUGAACUUUGGCUAUCAGGCUCUUCACGGGCAGACCCACUUCCUGUUCAUGGCUGAUGUCAUGGUCACCCUGUGGAACCCCAAGUACCCCAUUGACCGGGCUCUCCACCCCGCUGCUUUUGGACCUCAUCCUCUACCUGGACAGAAGAAACACUGUUUUCAGAGCAAAUAAUAGCUUUCUUGUGGGGUUUUGGCACAGUUUUUCUUGUUAUGUUACUUUCCCUGUCAUACCAUUAAUUGUUAUCCCAUUUUAGCCAUUUCAGUUUCAAUUGAAAGUUGUCCUCCAAUAUCUUUAGAUUGCGUUAGUGCAUGGUCACAGUUAACAGUGAGUUUUAUGACCUCGACCUUGACUACCUUUCCUCAUAUCAUAACACAAACAUGCUGUAUACACACAGACGUUCACAACUGGACGACAUUGUCUUUUGUAACAUUCUUAAUCUGGA